UACGUAGGGUGCGAGCGUUUGUCCGGAAUUAUUGGGCGUAAAGAGCUCGUAGGCGGUCUGUCGCGUCUGUUGUGAAAACUCGAGGCUCAACCUCGGGCUUGCAGUGGAUACGGGCAGACUAGAGUGGCGGUAGGGGAGACUGGAAUUCCGUGGUGUAGCGGUGGAAUGCGCAGAUAUCGAGGAGGAACACCGAGUGGCGAAGGCAGGUC
rnacentral:rRNA from 1 species